GCUUAUCACCAUUCCAGAUUGAAUAUACCCGAUCUCGUCUGAUCUCGGAAGUCAAGCAAUCUCCGGCUUGGUUAGUACUUGGAUGGGUGACCGCUUGGGAAUACCAAGUGUGAUAAGCA
rfam:Ciona savignyi cont_40852, whole genome shotgun sequence.